rnacentral:rRNA from 1 species
CCUACGGGGGGCAGCAGUGAGGAAUAUUGGUCAAUGGACGAGAGUCUGAACCAGCCACGUAGCGUGAAGGAUGACUGCCCUAUGGGUUGUAAACUUCUUUUAUAUGGGAAUAAAACGUUCCACGUGUGGGAUUUUGUAUGUACCAUAUGAAUAAGGAUCGGCUAACUCCGUGCCAGCAGCCGCGGUAAUACGGAGGAUCCGAGCGUUAUCCGGAUUUAUUGGGUGUAAAGGGAGCGUAGGUGGAUUGUUAAGUCAGUUGUGAAAGUUUGCGGCUCAACCGUAAAAUUGCAGUUGAAACUGGCAGUCUUGAGUACAGUAGAGGUGGGCGGAAUUCGUGGUGUAGCGGUGAAAUGCUUAGAUAUCACGAAGAACUCCGAUUGCGAAGGCAGUUCACUGGACUGCAACUGACACUGAGGCUCGAAAGUGUGGGUAUCAAACAGGAUUAGAUACCCCAGUAGUC